GAUGAGAACGUAGCGAAAUGCGAUAAGUAAUGCGAAUUGCAGAAUUCAGUGAGUCAUCGAAUCUUUGAACGCACAUUGCGCCCUGUGGUAUUCCGCAGGGCAUGCCUGUUCGAGCGUCAUUUCAACCCUCAAGCUCUGCUUGGUGUUGGGCCCUGCCCGCUGCGGCCGGCCCUAAAGACAGUGGCGGUGCCGCCUGGCCCUGAGCGUAGUACAUCUCUCGCUCCAGUGCCCGGUGGUAGCCUGCCAGAACCCCAACUCUCGUGGUUGACCUCGGAUCAGGUAGGGAUACCCGCUGAACUUAAGCAUAUCAAUAAGCGGAGGA
rnacentral:misc_RNA from 1 species